UACGUAGGGGGCUAGCGUUGUCCGGAUUUAUUGGGCGUAAAGAGCGUGUAGGCGGCCAGGUAGGUCUGCUGUGAAAACUCGAGGCUCAACCUCGAGACGUCGAUGGAAACCAUCUAGCUAGAGUCCGGAAGAGGAGAGUGGAAUUCCUGGUGUAGCGGUGGAAUGCGUAGAGAUCCGGAAGAACACCGGUGGCGAAGGCGGUCUGCUGGGCAGUUGCUGGACACUGAGGCGCGACAGCGUGGGGGAGCAAACAG
rnacentral:rRNA from 1 species